AUUUAAAUAGCUUAAAAUUAAAGUUUAAUAAUGAAAAUAUUAAGAUGAUUAAUAAAUCUUUAAAUA
rnacentral:tRNA from 1 species